rnacentral:rRNA from 1 species
UACGUAGGUGACCAGCGUUGUCCGGAUUUACUGGGCGUAAAGAGCGCGCAGGCGGUCGUUCAAGUCGAGUGUGAAAGCCCCCGGCUCAACUGGGGAGGGUCACUUGAUACUGAUCGACUCGAAGGCAGGAGAGGGAAGCGGAAUUCCCGGUGUAGUGGUGAAAUGCGUAGAUAUCGGGAGGAACACCAGAGGCGAAGGCGGCUACCUGGACAAUUGCUGACGCUCAGGCACGAAAGCGUGGGGAGCAAAAGGG